UUGCCCUGGGAACAGGAGAAAACCCGUUGAACUUUAGCAAUCAGGCGG
rnacentral:rRNA from 1 species